rnacentral:rRNA from 1 species
GUGAAUGCUAGCGGAGUGCUUAAGAUAUGCAAGUCGAACGGAAUAUACAAUUGUCUAGCUUGCUAGACGCCGUAUAUUUAGUGGCGAACGGCUGAGUAACACGUAGGAACCUACCCUUAACUCAGGGAUAGCCCCGGGAAACCGGGAGUAAUACCUGAUACGGAGGUAACUCUAAAGAUUUAUCGGUUAAGGAAGGGCCUGCGGCCUAUCAGGUAGUUGGUGGGGUAAAUGCCUACCAAGCCAAUGACGGGUCGCUGGUGUUAGCGCAUGACCAGCCAGAGGGGCACUGAGACACGGGCCUCACUCCUACGGGAGGCAGCAAUCGGGAAUCUUGCGCAAUGGACGAAAGUCUGACGCAGCGACUCCGCGUGAGGGACGACUGCCUUCGGGUUGUAAACCUCGUUAUAAGCACCGGCUAACUACGUGCCAGCAGCAGCGGUCAUACGUAGGGUGCAAGCAUUACCCGGUCUUACUGGGCGUAAAGAGUUCUGUAGGCUGUCAUAUAAGUCAGGGGUUAAAUCUUCCGGCCUAACCGGAAAACCGCUUUUGAUACUGUAUGACUAGAGGUAAUUAGGGGGUAGCGGAACGUAUGGUGGAGCGGUGAAAUGCGUUGAUAUCAUACGGAACACCAAGGGGGAAGCCAGCUACCUGGGAUUUACCUGACGCUGAGAGACGAAAGCGUGGGGAGCGAAACGGAUUAGAUACCCGUGUAGUCCACGCCGUAACCAAUGUCUGCUAGAUGCUUGAUUUAUUGAGUGUCAAAGCUAACGCGUUAAGCAGACCGCCUGGGGAGUACGGUCGCAAGGCUAAAACUCAAAGGAAUUGGCGGAAACCCGCACAAGCGGUGGAGCAUGCUCUUUAAUUGGCUGAUAACCCAAGAACCUUACCUGGGCUUGACAUGUACGUGGUAGGAAGCCGAAAGGUGGACGACCGAUUAAAUUCGGAGCGUACACAGGUGUUGCAUGGCUGUCGUCAGCUCGUACCGUGAGGCGUACCCUUAAGUGGGUUAACGAGCGCAACCCCUACUGUUAGUUGUAUCACUCUAGCGGAACUGCCGUCGCAAGACGGAGGAAGGUGGGGAUGACGUCAAGUCGGUAUUGCCCUUAUGUCCAGGGCGAGAAGCAUGCUACAAUGGCCGGUACAACGGGCUGCAACGUGGUGACAUGAAGCGAAUCCCUGAAAGCCGGUCUCAGUUCGGAUUGAAGUCUGCAAUUCGACUUCAUGAAGUUGGAAUCGCUAGUAAUCGCAGGUCAGCUAUACUGCGGUGAAUACGUUCUCGGGUUUUGCACACACUGCCCGUCGCGUCAGCAAGCUGGGGCCGCCCGAAGUCUCAAUAAAAUUGGGCCCACGGUGGAAUCAGUGAUGAGGAUGAAGUCGUAACAAGGUA